ACACACAGUGCAACCGGAGACCCUGCUACCUCUGUCCCAGCCCCCGUGGCCUGCCAGCACCCCCAGACCACAGAGGGGGAGAAGAGCCCAGAACCCGCAGGGCCCCCCCAGAGCCAGAGUGCCCGGGCCCCUACACCGCCUCCGACGCCCAGCGGCUCUGCCCCAGGAGGGCCAGCGUCCCUGGGCUCCCAGUAGCUGCCUGGGCCCGGGGGUGGCGGCCGAAUCCUCCAUACACCACGUGGACCCGGCCUGAGUGGGGGCAGGGCGGGCCCCACAAUGGCCCUGUUGCCCCAGCACCCGUCCACCCCCCAUCUGCCCCCACGUUCUCUCCUCUGGACUCCCGGGAGCCUGGUGCCAGGGAGAUAGGCCCCUACCCACCCCCAUUUGCACUGAGAAAAGAAAUUAUGGAGUUUUGUCUCCUAGAAUAAAGAUACAGAGUCGAGUAGAGAGAGAGAGGAGAGAGAGAGAGAGAGAGAGACGUAUAUUAUAUAUUAUAGAGAGAGAGUGGGCGGGUGGAGAGCCAGGAGGAGGCCAGGCGGGCGGGACAGCGGGUCGGACCCUCAUCCCACCCCAGGACAUCGCCCCCUCCCCUCCCACACGCCCCCAGCCUCCUGUGCGGAUGCCCACACCCACACUCGGCUCAGGGCUGCCUCGGGGGAGGGCCCGAGUGGGGGCCGUGCCUUUGCCCAGACCCUUGCUCUGGACCCUGCACUUUGACCCAGGCUGGGGGCUGGAGGACCCCCCCCCAGCCCAGCCUUGCUGCCUCUGUGGGAGCUGGUGGUCCCCGUCCGAGGGGGUCUCUCAGGGGACAUUCCUGUGGGGCCCUGAUGUGCUCACUGAGACCCCCGCACCUCCCACGGACCCUGCGGUGGAGGUUCGGCAGGGGUCCGGCUGGGGUCCCCUUCCCAUGCCCGAGGAUCUGGGGUCCAGCCCAGCUGCCAAGUGACCUUGUCCCAGCUCCCCCUCCCCAGGCUGGCGUGAGUGUGUGUGUGUCGUGCCCAGCUUCUAUUUCAUAUUGCAAAUAUAAAUAAAUACAUACGGUUUAAGAUUC